AGCCUGAUGCAGCGACGCCGCGUGAGGGAUGACGGCCUUCGGGUUGUAAACCUCUUUCAGCAGGGAAGAAGCGAAAGUGACGGUACCUGCAGAAGAAGCACCGGCUAACUACGUGCCAGCAGCCGCGGUAAUACGUAGGGUGCGAGCGUUGUCCGGAAUUAUUGGGCGUAAAGAGCUUGUAGGCGGUUUGUCGCGUCUGCUGUGAAAAUCCGGGGCUCAACCCCGGACUUGCAGUGGGUACGGGCAGACUAGAGUGUGGUAGGGGAGACUGGAAUUCCUGGUGUAGCGGUGAAAUGCGCAGAUAUCAGGAGGAACACCGAUGGCGAAGGCAGGUCUCUGGGCCACUACUGACGCUGAGAAGCGAAAGCAUGGGGAGCGAACAGGAUUAGAUACCCUGGUAGUCCAUGCCGUAAACGUUGGGCGCUAGGUGUGGGACUCAUUCCACGAGUUCCGUGCCGCAGCUAACGCAUUAAGCGCCCCGCCUGGGGAGUACGGCCGCAAGGCUAAAACUCAAAGGAAUUGACGGGG
rnacentral:rRNA from 1 species